GAGGGUAUAUCUCAAGUGGGAGUGCACGCUUAGCAUGCCUGAGGUCCUGGGUUCAAUCCCCAGUAUCUCCU
rnacentral:tRNA from 1 species